AGUUAGUAGACAGCAAGUCCACGAGGUCACACAAGUUCCCAGGCAGUAACCAGCAUUUACUAAACAACUAUGUGUCCGAUAAUAAUGAUAAUCUCAUUUAAUCACCCUAACCCAUCUGUUUGCUGGUGAGAUUAUUGUCCCAUUUUCCAGAUGUGGAGAUGAAGGUUGAGGGAGCUGGAUAACACAGACAUGGAAGAGACAAUGGAUUAGUAUCUUGUUACUGUGCUCUGCAGGGCCAAGGUGUUCUGACAGGUUUAUGCAGACCAAGAAGAACAAGCAGCAGAUGGGAAAGGAGUCUGUCUCCUCAGCAGGACCAGCCUCUGCACAGGUAUUGUUGUGUGGGAACUUAGCCGGGAGUUCCGAACAAGGAGUCUGAUGUGGGGGACUGGCAUCUGGAAGAGAAGUAGGCGUAAGGUGACAUGAGACAUCCUGGAGUGUCAGAUUCCAGAGCAUGGGACUGUGAGAACUGCGGGGAUCUGGGGCAGCGAUGGCUGUCCUCCCAGAUAUGAUUGCUGGACACAUCUGACUAGCCUUUCUGGUGGCUCUGCCACCUUCUGACCUUUAUUAUGGGGCCAAUGUUUGUUCUAUGUAUCUGUAACUACCGAUAUACCAGAGGCUUAUGCGAGUCAUCUCUGGUCUUUACCACAGUCCUGCAAAACAGCUUCAAAGACCAAAAUUCCAUCGCGCCAGACUUCCUCUUCAAGACUGCUAAGCUAAUGCAUGAUGAAGCCGGGAGCCAGCACCAGGUGUGUGGAUUGCAAAGCCCCGUUCUUCAUGUGAUGUGAAGGGUGUGUCACGGGAGACUGGGCAUGAGAGGAAGGCUGGCUUUCUGUUCAUCUUCCCCUCAGAAGGCCCCUUACUUUGAUGAGAGACAAUAGUGAAAAUAUUGCCCAGCUCUGGUUUACCCUAGCCUGCUAGGAGGCCGUGGGUAUAUGCCUUCUUGACCAUCUCCCAUCUGCCUCUAUUCCAAAGCAGACAAAGGCUCUGCACACACCAGGAAUGAAGAAACCAGCUUUCACCCAGUUAACGGGCAACAGGAGUAUUGAGACAACUCCAAGAGUCCGGACUCACAGACAAUUUCUCUCUGUGCCUUUUGGUUUGUGUUUGGAGUUUACAGAUGUGAAGCCACAGCUGGCUUCCCCGUUUUUCUGAGGGGCCCUGAGAGCCAGUCAACUGAGUUUUCUAUUGUCCUUUUUCACAGGUUUAAUAGCUGUUGGCAACCACGUUGCGUUAUUUUGUUCACAUAAUUAUUCACUGAGCGCGAACAUACCCUGGAGCGCCUCAGCUGUGGCCAUGUUCGCCGGACGCUAGGAAGUGGCUCAAACCUGUGUGUGUAUGUGUGUUUGUGUGUGUGUGUGUGUGUGUGUGUGUGUGUGUGUAUGUGUGUGUGUGUGUGUGUGUGUAAUGAGGAAAAAAAGGGUUGUUUGUUUCCUAAUUAGAAGCAUCAACCAUUGAGAACGAAGACUGACACAUGUUGUCUGUGUGACAUAUGUGAGUUGGAUUCACCCUGCAUUGUCAUGACUGGGGCCCUGACAUUUGCCUGGUCUUCUGUAGUUCUCUCAGCAGAGAAAGAAAAGCAGUCUGGCUUCCCUGGUGGUGGCAGAGACCACAGAGCCACGUGGAGGACCAUGGCUCACCUCCUCUGUGAGCUAGAGUCGUGUCUGUUCCUCCUCAGCUUGUCUGGGCAGCAACAGCCAUGAGUUGUUGAACAUUAAAGAGCAAAGACAUUAGAAAGAGAAGCUGCUAAGCUGCAGCCUGUUCUCUGUCUCCAUGUUGAACAAGGUGGGACGGGGAGGAUGGCUGUGAGAAGGAUGGCUCCUUUCCUUUCAGAACGCAGAAGGGGCAGUCUAGAAGCUCAGGCCAGGAGAGGCCAAGGGGAAGCUGAGGGAUUUGUCCGGAUGGGUGCGACCAGGCCGCUCAUGGUGGCACCCACCUCCACGUGUGGGAACGUGGUGUUGGGGGUUUGCUUCUUGAUAGAAACAAACUUACGAGUAGAGGGAGGAGAGAAUCUUGUCUUGGUACACCUCUGAGGAUGACAUUCUAGGCCUUUGAGGUAAGAAUAGGAAGGGCUUUAAUUCCCCACUACAGGCUACAUGGAAGGGUGGUGGCUGUGUUCUCCACGGAGGAAGUGUCCAGUCAGGCUUGUGUUUCAGGGACUCCGGACAAGUUAACUGGAUCUCCACUCAGCCUAGGAGAUGCCCUGUACACCAGGGUGUCUGGGCAGCUCCCUGGUUGUGACUUUUGACCGGAUAUCUGCUGCCAGCCAGGACUCUAGGUGUCUGUGGUAGUGGUGGUCUUCGUCUCCUUGGCUGUAAAAUGAAGCUUCUAACUGCAGUCCCCAUCCUGUUUGGAAGGUGGUUACUUUAUAUGCUGGGAGCAGUCAGGCUUUAGCAACAGCUCUGCCAUCUACCCAUGUGUGGAUAAAGAAACGUGGUAGAUACACAGCGAGAAACCGAUUAACUGCAGCACAGGGGACCUCCGGACAUGAUGCUAAGUGAACUAAGCCAGGCACAGGAGGACAUAUUCCACACCACCUCAUUUCUGGGUUGGGGAUGGGAGGGCUGGGAAAUGUUGGUGAAAGGGUGUAAAGCUUCAGUUUCACAUAGUGAAUAAGCUCUGGAAAUACACAUAUAUAUGCAAUACAUGCAUAUACAUAUAUAUAUAUACACAUGCACACAAUGUGUAUACAUAUGAAAAUAAAUACAUGUGUGCUAUACAUAUAUACAAAUGUACAUAACACAAACACACAAUAUAUGUACAUAUGCACACACAUAUAACAUGUAAUAUUACACACAUACACUUACAUACACAUCUAACACACACACACACCAUAUGCCUACAUUUCAUACACAUACACUCAUAGGCAUCCACUUAUACAGCACCUUGUAAACACACACAAACACACACACAUGGUAACUAUGAGGUAAUGAAUUGAUUUGGUGUUAUCAUCAUUUCAUAUUCUCUGUGAACAAUAUCACUUUGGGCAUCUUAAAUACAAUUUUUAUUUGUCAGCGAUGCUUCACAAAACUCUGGAAAUAAGCAACUUUGGAAAGAGUUUUUUACAACUUAAAGAGACUAAGGAAGUCAGGCAUGGGGCCAGCAAAAUGGCUCAGUGGGUUCAAGUGCUGAGACAAGCUGUCUCUCAUCCUAGGAUUCCACAGUAGGAGAGAACUGGUCCCCAAAAGUUGCCCUCUGACCUCUGCGCACUUCUGUGGGUCCCGAGUCCCCACACUCACAUGCACAGGUGGCAUAGGCCUGUCAUCUCAGUGCUUGGAAGAGGGAGGCUGGAGGACUGGGGAUAAGGGCCAAUGUAGAAGAAAGAGUACAAGCUAUAAAGGAUUUACUAAAAGAUUUGCUUAAGAGACGUUAAAUCACAAAUGCAGAAUUUAACUAAGGGAGUGCUGGCUCCAAAUACCCAAAGAUAAGUAGUGUGUUAGCCAGCCUGUUAGAGAUAAGCAAAAUUUACAUUGCUAGGCUGCGAAUUUUUAUUCAUCAGGACCGACUAGCCAUUAGGCUCAUCUCCCAAAAAACAUGCCUCGCUGGCCAGCUCAAGAGCCCAGUGCGGGGUCACAGCUACCCUUAAAGAUCUGGGUUUCUUGGUUCAGCCCCUGCAUUUUUAUCAGGAAAAGCAUAAUCCUGCCAGGUGGGCAAGAUGAACCUGGGUAAAAACUAUUCAAAAAGACUAACACUGGUGUACCUAAAAUAAUCCUGGCACUAUCUUUGCUGUGUAAAUCUUCCGUCUGCCCAAGUGGCCAGACUUGGAGUCUCCUGACUGUGUUUAAAUUAUUGGAAGUGUAACCUGGGGCCAGGACAUGAAAGGACUUAGGUAUGCAUGUUAGGAAAAUCUAUUCAUGGUUGCUUUUUCCUUGGGCAUUAGCUGCUACCAGCCAUGCACUUUUAUUCUCUUACCAAUAAAAAAUCUUUUCCUUUAUU
rnacentral:lncRNA from 1 species